rnacentral:tRNA from 3 species
CGGGGAGUAGCGUAGCCCGGCAGCGCACUUGGCUGGGGGCCAAGGGGUCGCGGGUUCAAAUCCCGCCUCCCCGACCA